rnacentral:rRNA from 1 species
AUUGAACGCUGGCGGCAGGCCUAACACAUGCAAGUCGAGCGGAUGAAGGGAGCUUGCUCCUGGAUUCAGCGGCGUACGGGUGAGUAAUGCCUAGGAAUCUGCCUGGUAGUGGGGGAUAACGUCCGGAAACGGGCGCUAAUACCGCAUACGUCCUGAGGGAGAAAGUGGGGGAUCUUCGGACCUCACGCUAUCAGAUGAGCCUAGGUCGGAUUAGCUAGUUGGUGGGGUAAAGGCCUACCAAGGCGACGAUCCGUAACUGGUCUGAGAGGAUGAUCAGUCACACUGGAACUGAGACACGGUCCAGACUCCUACGGGAGGCAGCAGUGGGGAAUAUUGGACAAUGGGCGAAAGCCUGAUCCAGCCAUGCCGCGUGUGUGAAGAAGGUCUUCGGACUGUAAAGCACUUUAAGUUGGGAGGAAGGGCAGUAAGUUAAUACCUGGCUGUUUUGACGUUACCAACAGAAUAAGCACCGGCUAACUUCGU